rnacentral:tRNA from 1 species
GCGCUGGUGGUGUAAGGCGAACAUCGCUGCCCGGCAGAAGAUGCGGGUUCGAGUCCCGCCUGGCGCA